AGCAGCCGCCGCGGUAAUACAGAGGGUGCGAGCGUUAAUCGGAUUUACUGGGCGUAAAGCGUGCGUAGGCGGCUAAUUGAGUCGGAUGUGAAAUCCCCGAGCUUAACUUGGGAAUUGCAUUCGAUACUGGUUAGCUAGAGUGUGGGAGAGGAUGGUAGAAUUCCAGGUGUAGCGGUGAAAUGCGUAGAGAUCUGGAGGAAUACCGAUGGCGAAGGCAGCCAUCUGGCCUAACACUGACGCUGAGGUACGAAAGCAUGGGGAGCAAACAGGAUUAGAUACCCUGUAGUCCCUGUCUCUUAUACC
rnacentral:rRNA from 1 species